ensembl:lncRNA
GUUGGCUCUGAUGCUGCAGGAGCAGCCUGGCUAGAAGCCACCAGCAUGCACGCAGCUUGGGGAGGGCUGGUCCAGCGUAGUGGUCUCCUCACCGCCCUGGGCUGCGCCUGCCUGCUCCGUCCUCCCCACAAAGCCCCAGACCCUAGAGCCAGUCCCAGCCCUGCCAGUCUCCACCCCCUCCCCACAGUUCUCUAUGGGGGGCUCUCCUCCCUGUGUGCCCCCUCCCCCGGCCCAGGAAACCCAGCCCUGUCGUCUGUGCCCCUCACCCCCUCUUCCCCACUCCUUAAACAGUUCCCACAUCCAGGGUUAGGAGCUCGUGGGCGCCUCACUGCUCACGGCUGGACUGCGGAGGAGAUGCACAAGUAAAUGCGUAGUGAAGCAGGAGGCACCCCCCACCCCACCAUGCCUCGAGCUGCAUCCCUGCUCAGAGGGGGUCUCGUGGUGUGGCUGGGGAGCAUGUCUCCCAUCCACAGGGUGGUGGCCUUGGGGAGCUUCCAGCUAGCACUUCGUGCCCAGCGCAGCUCUGCUCUCCUGUCCCAUCUCUGCGGGCAUCCUCAGCCAGGACAGCUCACUUGUAGCCUAAAACCCGGAAUAAGCGCAUGUGGGGAGCAGGAUGCACCAGGCAGAGCAGCCACCGGCAGAACUGGGCGGAGGCCGGGCUGCAGCUCCUGGGGCAGCAGGACCCUGGACGGCACUAAGACGGCCCCCGGAGGCCCAGGCGGGCCCCUCCCUCUGCUGCUUGGCUUGCCGGGCGAGAGGAAAGGCCCCCAGUUCUGCUGAGCUUACCACUUUCAAACUCCUUCCUGAGGUUUUUUUUUUUAAUGAUUAGGGAGUUGGUCCACGUUGGCUCAUCCUGGCAGCAUCACAGGCAUUGCCAAACUCUCGGAACCGCCCGUGGGGCUGGGGCCUGCCUGGGGCGCUCUGCUCCUCCUCUGGUGGGUCCGACAAUGCUGGCCUUCCUCCUGGAGCUGGGGGAGGCCGGGCUUGUUCACGUUCCCAGAUGGCAGGGGCCAGUCAGGCCGCCUCCUGGGAGUUACGAGAGGUCAGGGAGGUCAGGGGAUGGGUUCGGCCCAGGGAGCUGGGGUACGGGAGCUCUCACCUGCUACAGGUGCAAAAGGUGUGGCUUUGUUGUUUCUUGGAGGCUGCGGCCAGUGGAUCAACCCUCCCCCAGGCCUGGCCUCGCCCUGGGAGCUGUCCCCCAGGAGCCCUCCUAUUCCAGAGUCAGGAAAGCCUGCCCCUUCCCCACCAGGGCCAGGCCCAGGAUCUAGGCUCUGGACCCCCUGGAAGAGUGCACUAGGUGCAUGGAACCCUCACUGCGGGACAUCCCCCAACCCCCUGCCUGGGGGGCGCAGCAACCCUGGGGACAGCCUGCAGCUCCGUGGCAGCGGCCCUGCCCUCCAACCCCCCAGCUACGUCAUCGGAGCUGUCUGCGCUUGCACCUGGCUUCCCAAGCUAUGAGACACGGCUCCCGGCCUGCCUCCCCACGCCGCUGGCGGCUCACACCCUGUCAUCUGGGGUGGCCGCAGCAUCCUGGGGUGUUCCCCAGAGCCCCUCUCAGCAAGGCGCCCCUGACGGCCCCCAACUACCCCAGUGGGCGGUGGGCCUGGGACCCAGCCCUCUGGAGAAGGGAGACCAGCUGGUGGCCUGUAGGAAAACGGAGCUGCAGUGGACAAAUCCUCCUUCUCCAACUCAGGGACCGAUUCUCCCAGCCUCACCCGGGCUCUGUAAGGGGCUGAGGAGCGGAAAAGGACCAAGAGUGGGUGAGCCUCGACCUGGCCGGGUGCAGGUCUCGGUGUGGCCUGUGAAUGGGAGCGCGGCCUGUGCGGGGCAGAUUCUGGUAAAAAUGUGUGCACAGAUGGGUGUGUAGGGCCUCGGCUUCUGGACAGAGAAUUGGCCUCUCAGGGCCCUGCUCUGAGGAGGAGCCACACCCACUUCCCAGUGCUGUCCUGACUCUCAGGCUGCUGUCGCACCUGUCUGCUGGCCCAGCUCACAGCGUCCUCCGUCUGAGUCUGUCACAGCGACGAUUUUUUUCCUUUUAGCUGUUGAGUCUGUUUUACAUACAGUCAAACGCAGACCUCAAGUGCCUGUACAAUGUGUACACAUCAAGACACAGUGCAGCCCUCCCCACCCCCACUGAUCUGCCCUGUGAACGGUCACCUGCGGGCGCCACCUGUGUCCUAGUCACCUGUGUCCCUCUAGCACUCAGCACUAGGUGCCAGUUCGUACGUGGGAAGCUUUUUCUUGACUAACCUGCCUUCCCUGGACGCAGGGUCCCUCACACUCUCUCCCCCGUGGAGGGGGCCUUGGAUGCCCAGGGUGUGUCCAGAGACAGCCCCACUGAGUCGUCGGGUCCAGGCUGAAUCCGCUCUGUGGUCCUGCCCCUGAGCUCUGCCCGCAGCUCCCAGCUCCCCUCUCCACUGGCACAGAGGCUUCCUGGGCCCCUGACCCAGGGAGGCGGGGAGCCGAGGGUCCUGGCCAUCCCCGGGGUGCUGAGAGCUGAGGCUCGGUUUGAGCGCUGCCCCGGGAGGCCAGCCUGCUCUGGCCUGGGAGCGGCUCUGGGGGUCUGACCCCGCCUGUCACAGCCUCCCGUCCAGGGCUGGGGCUCGCCCACGGGCAGCCACGAGCGCUCUGUCUUCAGGGCUGGGCCCUGCACCUCCUUCUCGCUAUGCCUGGGGCGAGGCCUCCGUUUCUCUACCACAUGAGGGGGCGAUAAAGAAGGGCCUUCAAAUUUGGGGGGCGUGCACCAGAAAUGUCUUUACAAACAAUGAUAUUUGAAACCUUAAUACUUAAAAUAGAGAAAAGUGGAGCCACUCAGGCAGAAUGAGGCAUGAGGGGCCCAGAGCCCCACCCACCAGGACCAAUGCUCUCCCCUUCCCCCAGGAGCUCCAGGGGCCCCAGCAAGAUGCUUGGCUUCCAUGACACGUGCUCCGAAGUCCCUGGUGAUGGGGCCUGCUCCAGAGAGAGAUGACAAUUUGGCUCAGAGAGUUGAGAGGACUCUGCCCAGGAUCACACCCCUGGCUCCCUCCAGGAACGGCAGGUCACAGUGAGGAGUCCAGCAUGUGGGAGAAUCUCCAACCAGACGGGUGCCUCUGCUGUGUUGGGAGAUUUAUGUCAUCCAAUAGUCACUCAACAAACACCCCAGGCAUGAAGCAGAGAGUCUGUGUCAUGGCAGGAAAGGGGUAGUCUUUGCCCAGAGACUGCUGUCACCAGGAAGCCUGACCUUUCCUUAGGACAGCAGGAGGUGGGAACUCAGUGUCUUUCAGGCCUCUGUGACCAAGCAGACCUGCUCCCCUGGGCUGGCCUGAGGGUGGCUGUGGAGGGGUGGGGCCCGGCGCUGGUGGACCCAGGACCUCGUGAGGGGCAGGUGGGAAGCAGAGUGCUGGAUUCUGAGCCCAGGGGCAGCCCGGGCAGGACAGGUCAGGAGGAGAGGGGCUGCUCAGGCUUCCUGGGGGGCUGGUUCUCCAGCUCUUUGCAGACCAGCAGGAACCCUCACGACCACCAAGAAAGUGUGCUGCUCUCUGAGGCGGGAGCCUGGGGAGGGCAGGGGCUGAUCCAGCCCGCUUACCACGCUCCCCUGCACCUGUCGCUAGGCUGUCCCAGUAAAUACGCGCUCAGUGAAGAUGUGGGGAGGAGAUUUGUGUCCCGUGUCCCCAAAUUCCCCCCAGAGCCCAAGAUCCAGAGAGGCCUUUUCUCUGUCCCUUGCCCCCGGUGGGGGACCUGCUGAGAGCAGAG